rnacentral:miRNA from 1 species
AGAGAUUGCAAGGCAGGCAGGC